AGUUUGGUCAUAGCUCAGAUGAACAUGGCAGGAUGCUUUACACAUGCAAGUCGAACGGCAGCAGCACGGACUUCGGUCUGGUGGCGAGUGGCGAACGGUGAGUAAUGUAUCGGGGCGUGCUAGUAGCGGGGGAUAACUACGCGAAAGCGUAGCUAAUACCACAUACGCCGCCCGGGAAAGCGGGGGACCUUCGGGCCUCGCACUAUUAAGAGCGGCCGAUAUCCAGUUCGCGCUAGUUGGUGGGGUAACGGCUCGCCAGAGGCGGCGAUCCGUAGCUGGUUUGAGAGGACGACCAGCCACACUGGGACUGAGACACGGCCCAGACUCCUGCAGGAGGCAGCAGUGGGGAAUUUUGGACAAUGGGGAAACCCUGAUCCAGCCAUCCCACGUGUGCGAUGAAGACACUUCCGGGUUGUAAAGCACUUGCGGCAGGAAAGAAACAGCGCAGGAUAUGCCCCGUGCAACUGACGUACCUACAGAAUAAGCGCAAACUGCUACGUUGCCAACAGCGCGGUAAUACGUAGAGAUUGCAAGCGUUAAUCCAGAUUACUGAAUAAAGCGUGCGCAGGCAGUUCGGAAAGAAAAGAUGUGAAAUCCCAGAAAUACUUUGGAACUGCAUUUUUAACUACCGAGCUAGAGUGUGUCAGAGGAGGUGGAAUUCCGCGUGUAGCAGUACGUAGAUAUGCGGAGGAACACCGAUGGCGAAGGCAGCCUUUCGCAAGGAUAACACUGACGCUCAUGCACGAAAGCGUGGGAGCAAACAGGAUUAGAUACCCUGGUGAUCACUUUAAACGAUGUCAACUGGUUGUUGGGGCCUUCGGGCCUUGUGUACAACUGCGCGUGGGGAUUGACCGCCUGGGAGGUACGGUCGCAAGAUUAAAGCUCAAAGGAAUUGACGGGGACCCGCACAGGCGGUGGAUGAUGUGGAUUAAUUCGAUGCAACGCGAAAAACCUUACCUACCCUUGACGUGUCUGGAAUCCCGAAGAGAUUUGCAGAGUGCUCGCAAGAGAACCCCGGAACACAGGUGCUGCAUGGCUGUCGUCAGCUCGUGUCGUGAGAUGUUGGGUUAAGUCCGCAACGAGCGCAACCCCUUGUCAUUAGUUGCUACGAAAGGGCACUCCUAAUGAGACUGCCGGUGACAAACCGGAGGAAGGUGGGGAUGACGUCAAGUCCUCAUGGCCCAUAUGGGUAGGGCUUCACACGUCAUACAAUGGUCGGAGACAGAGGUCGCCAACCCGCGAGAGGCAAUCCCAGAAACCCGAUCGUAGUCCGGAUCGCAGUCUGCAACUCGACUGCGUGAAGUCGGAAUCGCUAGUAAUCGCGGAUCAGCAUGUCGCGGUGAAUACGUUCCCGGGUCUUGUACACACCGCCCGUCACACCAUGGGAGUGGGUUU
rnacentral:rRNA from 1 species